UCAGUGAAAUUGAACUCGCUGUGAAGAUGCAGUGUACCCGCGGCAAGACGGAAAGACCCCGUGAACCUUUACUAUAGCUUGACACUGAACAUUGAGCCUUGAUGUGUAGGAUAGGUGGGAGGCUUUGAAGUGUGGACGCCAGUCUGCAUGGAGCCGACCUUGAAAUACCACCCUUUAAUGUUUGAUGUUCUAACGUUGACCCGUAAUCCGGGUUGCGGACAGUGUCUGGUGGGUAGUUUGACUGGGGCGGUCUCCUCCUAAAGAGUAACGGAGGAGCACGAAGGUUGGCUAAUCCUGGUCGGACAUCAGGAGGUUAGUGCAAUGGCAUAAGCCAGCUUGACUGCGAGCGUGACGGCGCGAGCAGGUGCGAAAGCAGGUCAUAGUGAUCCGGUGGUUCUGAAUGGAAGGGCCAUCGCUCAACGGAUAAAAGGUACUCCGGGGAUAACAGGCUGAUACCGCCCAAGAGUUCAUAUCGACGGCGGUGUUUGGCACCUCGAUGUCGGCUCAUCACAUCCUGGGGCUGAAGUAGGUCCCAAGGGUAUGGCUGUUCGCCAUUUAAAGUGGUACGCGAGCUGGGUUUAGAACGUCGUGAGACAGUUCGGUCCCUA
rnacentral:rRNA from 1 species